CAGGUUUCGGUGUCCGUGGUGAAAACCAGAUCCAAAUAUUUAUUGUUUUGAUUCGGUGUAUCACACACUUGCAUUAAUCCAGACAACGAAAAACCAUCAACAAUGGCUACUUCACUCUGCGAAACGAUUCGCUCAGGUUGAAAUCACCUGACACGAGCACCAUGUCACCCGGCUGAAUUAUGUCGAUGACGGAGUCAACAAACGCGACGAACGAGUGGUAGCGAGCUAAAUUCGAGCUCGAGCAAACUCUGUGCUGACGAUACGACGAUGAACCGCAAUAAGCGCCCCGCCGCCGGACAGUUUAUCGCUGUUAAGUGUGUCUCUGUCGCAGCGGUAGACCGAAAAACACGAAGGGAACAGUACACUAUCUUGUAUAGAGGAUUCCAAGGUUUCCCACGUUUAACGGAUUAACAGAAUGAGACUCAAUUCCAUCGCUAAUAGCGGAUAGGAUUCCUCACACAAAACGUCACUGCUGCAUCGCAACCGUUGGCUGGAAGGGAGCAGCGAGCGGAGUGGAGAAACAGUCUCGCUGCUGAGAGGGACUAUCACGCUGUCGCUCGUCACGAAAAAUUGUAUUGCCCCGCUCGACACCCACAAACUCACGGAAAUAAAUUCCCUUUUGCCAGCUUGAUGGCAGCAUUGCUUUUUCCUUCCACUUCAUUGCCAUUCCGAUUUUGAAAGAUAUGAAAGAGAGUUGAUUGAGAUCAAAUCCUCUUCGGACCAACUUUAUUACGUCAACCGGUUCAUUCAUUUCCAGAUUACGUUGUACCAGACUCGAGAUUUCCUCCACAGUGGCGUGUGGAGAAAAUCUUGACAAAAACAACCAAAAUUUAGACUCCCGUGCAGCGGUGUGCACGAUUGGAACAGACAAAGCAGGAUCUGGCUCUUUGCUACCACAAAGCGUACGAGUGGCAUCCUCUUCGACCUGUGGCGGGUCGAUUUGGAUGCGGGGACGCUUUGUUGAUCUUGGUUGAACUGUCGGCCAAGGCGAGCGAUUUGAAAGACUUUGCUGCUGUUGUUUUCCUACGAUUUCAUCUAUUUUGUCUGUAUUCUUUUCUUUCUUUUCAGAACCAUCAACAUAUUCAUAAAGAGUAAACAGUAAACUAAUCCAUUUUUCAGGUAGAUAGGUAGGUAUUCACGUAGGAGAAGAAAAUAAAACAAU